AUUUAAAUAGUUUAAUUUAAAAUACUGACUUGUGGUGUCAGAGAUAUACAUAUGUUAUUUUAAAUA
rnacentral:tRNA from 1 species